rnacentral:rRNA from 1 species
UACGUAGGGUGCAAGCGUUAAUCGGAAUUACUGGGCGUAAAGCGUGCGUAGGCGGCCUUGUAAGUCCGAUGUGAAAGCCCCGGGCUCAACCUGGGAACUGCAGUCGAGACUGCAUGGCUAGAGUAUGGGAGAGGGAAGUGGAAUUCCUGGUGUAGCGGUGAAAUGCGUAGAUAUCAGGAGGAACACCAGUGGCGAAGGCGGCUACCUGGACCAAGACUGACGAUGAGACGCGAAAGCGUGGGGAGCAAACAGG